rnacentral:lncRNA from 10 species
UUGACAGGGUCUCAUUCUGUCACCCAGGUUGGAGGGCAAUGGCGUGAUCUCUGCUCACUGCAACUUCCACCUCCUGACUUGAAGUGAUUCUCCUGCCUCAGCUUCUAGAGUAGCUGGGAUUACAGGUACCCGCAACCACGCCCAGCUAAUUGUUGUAUUUUCAGUAGAGACGGGGUUUUGCCAUGUUGGCCAGGCUGGUCUCGAACUCCUGAUCUCAGUUGAUCCACCCGCCUCGGCCUCCCACAGUGCUGGGAUUACAGGCGUAAGUCACCGCGCCCGGCCUGUUUCUGUGAUUUUUGUGAGCCAUUACAGCAAAUUAUCAAAACUGAGGAGGGGGUUGUGGGAACUUCCAAAUUUGGGCUGGUCAGAAGUACAGGUGACAAGCUGGGACCUAGAACUGGUAUCUGAAGCAGGGGCAGUCUGCUGGGACUGAGCCCUUCACCUGCAGGGACCGUGCUAACUCUGGGUAGUGAGUGUCAGAACUGAAUUUUAGAACAGCUGGCUGGUGUCUGGAGAGUCGGAGAAUUGAUGUGGGCGCCCCCCUCCCCACUAACAUUGGUGUCAGAAGUACUGGGAAUGUAGAAAGUUUUUCCUUGUUAGGUAUCCAAAAAGAUCUCCCACACCUGGAUCCCAUGGAAGGCAGCUGGGAGGGCAGGAGGUGGCUGGCUUCAGAGAGCCAAGGAGGUCUGGGAAGUCAGGAAAUGGGUGUGUGGCUCAGCAGUCAGGGGCAGCGGCACCCUCUUCCCCAACUUCUUCAACCAAACACAUGGUUGGGCCACAGCACCACAUGGAUGAAGGUGCCACCACCAGCCCUGAGAGUCACCGACAUUCGUGCAGAGCUUCCCUGGUGUUGCACCAGGAUGCAGGACCAGCGUCACGGACUCCAAGCCGGUGUGGAGUAGGAAAGCCCUGGGCAAUCCGUCAGUAAGGUCCUUCCAGCCUGGGCUGGAGUCAUAUCCUCAGCCCCACUUUCUCCAACUCUUUCCUGGAAGCCCAGAGGUGCCACACACAGCUGCUGGCCACACACACUCACAUAGUCCCCAGGGCCCUGGCUGAGGCUGGGGAGACCCCUAUUGGCCACAAUGUGGGGAUGAAGUUCCCACCCUGCACAGUCACUGUAGCAACCACCCUGUGCUGAGAACCACACUCCAGGGACCAACAUGCACUAGAAAAAUGUCACACAGGAAUACACACUCAGAGGGCACUCGAGAAACAUUUAUUGAGCACCUACUAUGUGCCAGGCCCCAGGCAGGACACUUGGAAAACAAAGUCAAUACAACCUGGUCCCUGCCCAGGAGCUCACAGUCUAGAAGGCCAAGCCAUUAAUCAUAGAACAGCAAAGGGGCAUUUGGCUUCACAAUUUUACAACAAACUUUUACAUACGUUUUCUCAAGUGUAAACACCCAGCAACACAGCCAUGUUGUUUUAAAAGCACAUUGGCAUAAAUGUAAACACAAGUCACAGGAUUGAAAGGAUGAGAGAAAACCAUUUGCAGUAUUUGUGCUUGCAGAACCAGAUUUUUAGCAUUAUUUAUUCCCUCCUAUCAGGUAGGAUACAAGUUUUGCCAAUCUGUGGAUAAUGGUGUUUGAGACAUGGGAGUUCCGUGGCCGGCCUGCCUGCCUGCCAUCAUGCAGUGGGGGAGCCACACUAGAUACAAGGCAUCCUGAAGCCUUGGCCACUGCCUUCUGUCCACCACACCUGUCUUUUAAUGUCCCCUAGACAAAGACCCUGUAUAUUUCUAGGCUCCUCCUGAGCUUAUCAGAUGGGGAGAAGGGAUCAUGUCCCAGGAGCCCACCAAGUCGUGAGAUCCCUCAUACCUGGCUUGGCACAUGGUGACACCCCAUCAGGUGAGCACACAGCACACGCUGCCCAGCCUGGCCAACAUGACGAAAACCCCAUCUCUACCAAAAAAUACAAAAAUUAGCCAGGCAUGGUGGUGCACGCCUGUAAUCCCAGCUACUCGGGAGGCUGAGGCAGGAGAAUCGCUUGAACCUGGGAAGCAGAGGUUGCAGUGAGCCAAGAUCGCAGCCUGGGUGACAGAGCAAGACUCCAACUCAAAAAAAAAAAAAAAAAUGUGCCAAUGUCAGCGUCCUACAGGAAUAGCUGCCCUCCAAGUCCCACCUGUGCCCCCACUUCUCCUAUGUGCACAUUUGUCAGCAUGUGCAGAGGUAUACAGUCCUGCUUACCACACCUGCCAUGGGCUCUAAACAGGACAGUACAGCUGGGGUUUGAGAAGGGGCUGCCUGUGUGCUCCAUCUCACCAAAGGGAAAACCACGCACAGAUCUGGCCCCUGUUGGUUUAGUUUAGGAAGGUAAGGAAUCCGGUGAAGAGACCAAAAGUGGCCUCCUCAUGAUCCAGGGAAUAGGGGAAACCAGCAAGUGUUUGGGUUUAAUUAAGCCAAGGGUUGGGGGGGAUGAAGGUGGACAGCUGAGGGUGCAGGCCUGUAGGGCUGGAAAAGGCGGGGCUGAGUUUAGGACCCCUGUGCCCCUCACCAUCAUACGGAAAGGGAGGAGAGGCAUCUUUCUACCUGCAAGCUGGUUACCGCCAUUUCACUUUAGAAAGCUCAGGAUAAGCCGGGCGUGGUGGCUCACGCCUGUAAUCCCAGCACUUUGGGAGGCUGAGGCAGGUGGGUCGCCCGAGGUCAGGAGUUCGAGGCCAGCCUGACCAUCAUAGUGAAACUCUGUCUCUACUAAAAAUACAAAAAAUUAGCUGGGCAUGGGCAUGGUGGUGGGUGCCUGUAAUCCCAGCUACUAGGGAGGCUGAGGCAGGAGAAUCACUUGAACCCAGGAGGUGGAGGUUGCAGUGAGCCGAGAUCGCGCCACUGCACUCCAGCCUGGGCAGCAAGAAU